CUUGAGUUAGGAGAACAUACGGAUACAGUUUCUGCCGGAUUCCUCUUCAAAGACUUACCUUUAACGCGCGAGCUUUGGACAUUAUUAGUCUGAGGAUGUAUGGCUUCUCAACCAGCAAGGUAACCACAUAGCUCAACACCAACGUGAGCACCAGGUGUCCAAGGAACAGGCCAGUAUGAUCCAGGUCACAGCCAGAGCCCAGAGCGGCCUAUGCAGUCCCUGGUAGAGUUCGUGGGGUAUGGAUGGAGAGGUUGGGGUCUCCUUCAGGAUGUAAGAGAUUCCAAUCACUGCAGCCAUGAUUGACAGACAGAAGAUCCAACCAAGUGCUGCCUGCCACUAUAGCAACAAAAAGACCCGAUAAGUAGAUGCGUGUUACGUGAAUGCGAGUUGAGUCCAUACAGAUACCUAAUAUCCCUUAAAGAGCAUAUAACCCUCACUCUCUCGCUUUGUCCCAGAUAAUUUACUAAUCCUGAGAGGAUAAUAAACAUUCUAUAUCAAGAUACUACAAGUCAUGUCUAGCUGUCUAAAAGAGAUUGUGAACCAGUGUGUCUUCGGGCAAGCAGAGCCCACUAUCAGUGUCAUGUGUUAAAACAGCUGUGGUCAAAGCCCGAGCACAAAGAAAGGGUCAGUUGUAAAAUGCAAGGAGAAUGUAAGAGCCCCUAGGUUUGUUACCUGCGCUUGGGAAGAGAGGAUUGAGAGGAAUGGUUAGAAAACCUAAAAAAAAGAACUAAAGGGCCAAGUAAUUAGU